rnacentral:rRNA from 1 species
UGAGGGAUAUUGCACAAUGGGCGCAAGCCUGAUGCAGCGACGCCGCGUGGGUGAUGACGGUUUUCGGACUGUAAAACCCUUUUCUAGGUGACGAGAACGGACGGUAGCCUAGGAAUAAGUGUCGGCUAACUACGUGCCAGCAGCCGCGGUAAAACGUAGGACACGAGCGUUAUCCGGAGUUACUGGGCGUAAAGGGCGUGCAGGCGGUCACAUAAGUCUGAUGUGAAAGCGCCCGGCUUAACCGGGCGAGGACAUUGGAGACUGUGUAACUAGAGGCAGAUAGAGGGGUGUAGAAUUCCGGGUGUAGUGGUGAAAUGCGUAGAGAUCCGGAGGAAUACCAGAGGCGAAGGCGGCACCCUGGGUCUGACCUGACGCUGAGACGCGACAGCAUGGGGAGCGAA